rnacentral:rRNA from 1 species
GGUUAAGCGACUAAGCGUACACGGUGGAUGCCCUGGCAGUCAGAGGCGAUGAAGGACGUGCUAAUCUGCGAUAAGCGUCGGUAAGGUGAUAUGAACCGUUAUAACCGGCGAUUUCCGAAUGGGGAAACCCAGUGUGUUUCGACACACUAUCAUUAACUGAAUCCAUAGGUUAAUGAGGCGAACCGGGGGAACUGAAACAUCUAAGUACCCCGAGGAAAAGAAAUCAACCGAGAUUCCCCCAGUAGCGGCGAGCGAACGGGGAGCAGCCCAGAGCCUGAAUCAGUGUGUGUGUUAGUGGAAGCGUCUGGAAAGGCGCGCGAUACAGGGUGACAGCCCCGUACACAAAAAUGCACAUGCUGUGAGCUCGAUGAGUAGGGCGGGACACGUGGUAUCCUGUCUGAAUAUGGGGGGACCAUCCUCCAAGGCUAAAUACUCCUGACUGACCGAUAGUGAACCAGUACCGUGAGGGAAAGGCGAAAAGAACCCCGGCGAGGGGAGUGAAAAAGAACCUGAAACCGUGUACGUACAAGCAGUGGGAGCACGCUUAGGCGUGUGACUGCGUACCUUUUGUAUAAUGGGUCAGCGACUUAUAUUCUGUAGCAAGGUUAACCGAAUAGGGGAGCCGAAGGGAAACCGAGUCUUAACUGGGCGUUAAGUUGCAGGGUAUAGACCCGAAACCCGGUGAUCUAGCCAUGGGCAGGUUGAAGGUUGGGUAACACUAACUGGAGGACCGAACCGACUAAUGUUGAAAAAUUAGCGGAUGACUUGUGGCUGGGGGUGAAAGGCCAAUCAAACCGGGAGAUAGCUGGUUCUCCCCGAAAGCUAUUUAGGUAGCGCCUCGUGAAUUCAUCUCCGGGGGUAGAGCACUGUUUCGGCAAGGGGGUCAUCCCGACUUACCAACCCGAUGCAAACUGCGAAUACCGGAGAAUGUUAUCACGGGAGACACACGGCGGGUGCUAACGUCCGUCGUGAAGAGGGAAACAACCCAGACCGCCAGCUAAGGUCCCAAAGUCAUGGUUAAGUGGGAAACGAUGUGGGAAGGCCCAGACAGCCAGGAUGUUGGCUUAGAAGCAGCCAUCAUUUAAAGAAAGCGUAAUAGCUCACUGGUCGAGUCGGCCUGCGCGGAAGAUGUAACGGGGCUAAACCAUGCACCGAAGCUGCGGCAGCGACGCUUAUGCGUUGUUGGGUAGGGGAGCGUUCUGUAAGCCUGUGAAGGUGUGCUGUGAGGCAUGCUGGAGGUAUCAGAAGUGCGAAUGCUGACAUAAGUAACGAUAAAGCGGGUGAAAAGCCCGCUCGCCGGAAGACCAAGGGUUCCUGUCCAACGUUAAUCGGGGCAGGGUGAGUCGACCCCUAAGGCGAGGCCGAAAGGCGUAGUCGAUGGGAAACAGGUUAAUAUUCCUGUACUUGGUGUUACUGCGAAGGGGGGACGGAGAAGGCUAUGUUGACCGGGCGACGGUUGUCCCGGUUUAAGCGUGUAGGCUGGUUUUCCAGGCAAAUCCGGAAAAUCAAGGCUGAGGCGUGAUGACGAGGCACUACGGUGCUGAAGCAACAAAUGCCCUGCUUCCAGGAAAAGCCUCUAAGCAUCAGGUAACAUCAAAUCGUACCCCAAACCGACACAGGUGGUCAGGUAGAGAAUACCAAGGCGCUUGAGAGAACUCGGGUGAAGGAACUAGGCAAAAUGGUGCCGUAACUUCGGGAGAAGGCACGCUGAUAUGUAGGUGAAGUCCCUCGCGGAUGGAGCUGAAAUCAGUCGAAGAUACCAGCUGGCUGCAACUGUUUAUUAAAAACACAGCACUGUGCAAACACGAAAGUGGACGUAUACGGUGUGACGCCUGCCCGGUGCCGGAAGGUUAAUUGAUGGGGUCAGCGCAAGCGAAGCUCUUGAUCGAAGCCCCGGUAAACGGCGGCCGUAACUAUAACGGUCCUAAGGUAGCGAAAUUCCUUGUCGGGUAAGUUCCGACCUGCACGAAUGGCGUAAUGAUGGCCAGGCUGUCUCCACCCGAGACUCAGUGAAAUUGAACUCGCUGUGAAGAUGCAGUGUACCCGCGGCAAGACGGAAAGACCCCGUGAACCUUUACUAUAGCUUGACACUGAACAUUGAGCCUUGAUGUGUAGGAUAGGUGGGAGGCUUAGAAGUG